UACGGAGGGUGCGAGCGUUGUCCGGAAUCACUGGGCGUAAAGGGCGCGUAGGUGGCGCGGGAUGCGUGCGGUGAAAGCCCGGGGCUCAACCCCGGGUCGGCCGUGCGAACUCCCGGGCUCGAGCACUGUAGGGGCAGGCGGAAUUCCGGGUGUAGCGGUGGAAUGCGUAGAGAUCCGGAAGAACACCGGUGGCGAAGGCGGCCUGCUGGGCAGUGGCUGACGCUGAGGCGCGACAGCGUGGGGAGCAAACAGG
rnacentral:rRNA from 1 species